CAGUACCGCGGGAAUACGGAGGGAGCUAGCGUUGUUCGGAAUUACUGGGCGUAAAGCGCGCGUAGGCGGUUACUCAAGUCAGAGGUGAAAGCCCGGGGCUCAACCCCGGAACUGCCUUUGAAACUAGGUGACUAGAAUCUUGGAGAGGUCAGUGGAAUUCCGAGUGUAGAGGUGAAAUUCGUAGAUAUUCGGAAGAACACCAGUGGCGAAGGCGACUGACUGGACAAGUAUUGACGCUGAGGUGCGAAAGCGUGGGGAGCAAACAGGAUUAGAUACCCCAGUAGUCCCUGUCUCUUAUACC
rnacentral:rRNA from 1 species